AUGAAAUGGGCUAUCUGUGACAAGUUCCACCACUGGCUACGGGGACAGCAGUUCACGGUAUGGACGGAUAAUAAUCCCUUGACAUACAUUCUGACCAAAGCAAAGCUUGAUGCUUGUGAACAGAGAUGGGUCGCCAAGCUGGCACCGUACAAGUUUGACAUCAAGGACAUCCCUGGAAAUAUAAAUGUUGUUGCAGAUGCUUUGAGCAGAGAGCCCUUCGUACGACCCAGUGCACUCCAUCGCCUGACAAGGGUCCCGUACGAGACCUUACUAGCUGAAGCUAACGCUGUGCUCACAGACAGUGCAAGAUGUGGUCCAGCCACCCCUUUGACAAAGCCUCUGACUCCAACAAAGUGGUCAUUAGCUGUCAGGCUACUGUUGACUCCCCCAUCUGGUGCUUUAUCAAGACAUGAAGUUGCAUCUGUUCUUCAUUCACACAGGGUGGGUGAAGUGGGCUCACAUGCACUGCUGUUGCCACAGCUUCCACAGGCUGAUAUGCCAUCAGAGCAGACCGAUGUCGAUGUUCUGCCACACGAUCUACUGAUAAGUAAGCAGCGUGAUGACAACGUGAUCAGCAGAGUGAUCUUCUUUGUGGAGAGGGGGAGAAGACCAUCCCGGAGAGAGCGUGCCCAUGAGAGUGUUGAGGUUUUGUGUCUUCUCAGAAGUUGGGACAAGUUGAUCAUGAAGAUGGGUACACUGUAUCGUGUUUUGAAGAAUGUGGUUACAAAGAGGAAAACGUAUCUGUAUGUGAUUCCAGCCUCCAUGAAAGCAAUGUUGUUGAAGGGUGCCCAUGAUGAAGCUGGCCACCAGGGCUACCUGACUAGACAGAGGUUCUUCUGGCAUGGCCUGGAGAGGGAGGUAAAAGCAUAUGUGAAGUGCUGCAGGAGAUGCAUCGUGAGCAAGACUCCUGAUCCGGAAGCAAGAGGUCCUCUUGAGAGCAUAAUAACAACUGAGCCUCUUGAACUAGUGUGCAUAGACUUUUGGUCUGCAGAAGAUUCUUCAAACAAUUCCUGUUUGUGUAUAAAGUAUUUGGCAACAAGAAUAAAAAUAAAAAAACAAUCAUUUCAGUGGUUUUGUUAUCAUUGCAAUAGUAACAUAUUAUAUCUUUCAUGUUAA
rnacentral:lncRNA from 13 species